AUUGAACGCUGGCGGCAUGCUUUACACAUGCAAGUCGAACGGUAACAGGCCGCAAGGUGCUGACGAGUGGCGAACGGGUGAGUAAUGCAUCGGAACGUGCCCAGUCGUGGGGGAUAACUACUCGAAAGAGUAGCUAAUACCGCAUACGAUCUAUGGAUGAAAGCGGGGGACCGUAAGGCCUCGCGCGAUUGGAGCGGCCGAUGUCAGAUUAGGUAGUUGGUGGGGUAAAGGCUCACCAAGCCAACGAUCUGUAGCUGGUCUGAGAGGACGACCAGCCACACUGGGACUGAGACACGUCCCAGACUCCUACGGGAGGCAGCAGUGGGGAAUUUUGGACAAUGGGCGCAAGCCUGAUCCAGCAAUGCCGCGUGCAGGAAGAAGGCCUUCGGGUUGUAAACUGCUUUUGUACGGAACGAAACGGCUCUGGUUAAUACCCGCGGCUAAUGACGGUACCGUAAGAAUAAGCACCGGCUAACUACGU
rnacentral:rRNA from 1 species